UGAAAAAAGAACCUGAACGGAAGGACAAAAAACAAGGGGGGCCCAUUAGGAACUUUCCAGGAAAUACCCCAUUCACACAGUACACAGAUAUCAUAUAUAUACACCAUUGUUUCUUUUCCUUCGGGGGUGACCUGGAGACUCUAUCCUCUUCACUCAAAAUAUCGGCACACACACACGCAAUCCUCUCCCUUCACAGCUCACUCAAAAUCGCACACUAAUCCGUACAUACCUAAAAAAGCUCACUCAAAAUCGCACACUAAUCCAUACAUACCUAAAAAAAAUAGAGCCGAUUGAGAGAGAGGGUGACGAAUAGAGAGAGUUAUAGUUAUUUUAGUUUCGGAUUAUUGUUUUGGCGACACAGUCGUCGAAUUUAGACAUUUUCCGUCAGCUUAUUCCCUUCACGGCUCACUGGAGCUUAGAUUCGGACUGGUUUUGAGCUCUCAGUUAGACUUCGGAGAUGUUAGUUCUCGUUUGCUCGUCAUUCGUCUUCCGAUAUCGUGCCUUUGAAGGUUUUUGAUAUCGGGCCGGUCUGUUUUUCGGUUGCUAUUUGUUGUGGUUUCAUCAGUCUUCGCUACUAAUUUGAAGAUUAGAAUCUCAUUCGUCUCGAAUCGUUAAUCGCGAUCAAUUUUUGGUCUUCAAUCUUCGAUACCGAAUCUGAGGUUAUCACAUUUUGGAUUGUUUCUCGAUUGAUUUGGAGAGUCGAGAUUUCGUUGGUAUUCUUCGAGGUUCUUGGACGGGCUCUUAUUUCUCUUAUUAAAUCAAUCGAAAGCUCCUGAGGGAAUGCCCCGACGUAUUAUGUACUCGGAGGAAGUGUGUGACGAAGGCCCGAGACAUCGGGUAAAGCCUUGGAGCGUAGUUUAGGAUUAGUGUAGGUUUACUUUUCAGUCCUUUUUUUUAUCUCAGGUUGUAAUAAUUGGACUGGACACUAUAGUUUUGAAUUUUUUUUGUUUGUUUGA